GAUGAACGCUGGCGGCGUGCUUAACACAUGCAAGUCGAACGGAAAGGCCCAAACUUUCUUGGGUACUCGAUUGGCGAACGGGUGAGUAACACGUGGGUGAUCUGCCCUGCACUUCGGGAGAAGCCUGGGAAACUGGGUCUAAUACCGGGGAGGAUCACAUUUUGGGUGUGGUUGUGGAGAGUUUUUCGGUGUGGGUGUAGCUCGUGGCCUAUCAGCCUGCUGGUGGGGUAAUGGCUUACCAAGGCGUCGACGGGUAGCCGGCCGGAGAGGGUGUACGGCCACAUUGGGACUGAGAUACGGCCCAGAGUCCUACGGGAGGCAGAAGUGGGGAAUAUUGCACAAUGGGCGCAAGGCUGAUGCAGAGAGGCCGCGUGGGGGAUGACGGCCUUCGGGUUGUAAACUCAUUGCGCUAGGGACGAAGCGUUAUGUGACGGUACCUGGAGAAGAAGCACCGGCUAACUACGUG
rnacentral:rRNA from 1 species